rnacentral:rRNA from 1 species
GGACACUGUCUCAGCCAUGAGCUCGGUGAAAUUGUAGUAACGGUGAAGAUGCCGUUUACCCGCUGUGGGACGAAAAGACCCCGUGAACCUUUACUAUAGCUUAGUAUUGACCUUGGACAAAUAAUGUGUAGGAUAGGUGGGAGACUUCGAAGCCGCGUCGCCAGGCGUGGUGGAGUCACUGUUGAAAUACCACCCUUUAUUUGUUUAGGGCCUAACGUCUAGCGACGGACAGUGCUUGGUGGGUAGUUUGACUGGGGUGGUCGCCUCCAAAAGAGUAACGGAGGCUUCUAAAGGUUCCCUCAAUACGGUUGGCAAUCGUGUGUAGAGUGCAAUGGCAUAAGGGAGCUUGACUGAGAGACCUACAAGUCGAUCAGGUACGAAAGUAGAGCAUAGUGAUCCGGUGGUUCCGCAUGGAAGGGCCAUCGCUCAAAGGAUAAAAGGUACGCCGGGGAUAACAGGCUGAUCUCCCCCAAGAG